UACGUAGGGCGCAAGCGUUAUCCGGAAUUAUUGGGCGUAAAGAGCUCGUAGGCGGCCUGUUGCGUCUGCUGUGAAAGCCCGGGGCUUAACCCCGGGUCUGCAGUGGAUACGGGCAGGUUAGAGCUCGGCAGGGGAGACUGGAAUUCCUGGUGUAGCGGUGAAAUGCGCAGAUAUCUGGAGGAACACCGGUGGCGAAGGCGGCAUCCUGGACCGGUAUUGACGCUGAGGCGCGAAAGCCAGGGGAGCAAACGGG
rnacentral:rRNA from 1 species